GACGAACGCUGGCGGCGCGCUUAACACAUGCAAGUCGAACGGAAAGGCCUGCUUUCCCUUGUGGAUUGCGGGUACUCGAGUGGCGAACGGGUGAGUAACACGUGAGUGAUCUGCCCCCAACUUGGGUAUAAGCCUGGGAAACUGGGUCUAAUUCCCGAUAGGACUGCAGGGUGGUGCCUGUGGUGGAAAACGAUUUUCUAGUGGUUGGGGAUGAGCUCGCGGCCUAUCAGCUUGUUGGUGGGGUAAUGGCCUACCAAGGCGGCGACGGGUAGCCAGGCUGAGGGGGUGGACGGCCUCAGUGGGGCUGAGCUGCGGCCCUGGCACCUACGCGCGGCACCGGCGGGGACUGGUGGCAGCUGGGCGGAAGCCUGAUGCAGCGGCGCCGGGUGGGGGAUGCCGGCCUUCGUGUUGUAAGCUCCUUUCGGCCGCGAGGAAGCCACCUGGCUGGAAGGGUGGUGACGGUAGUGGUAGAAGAAGCUCCGGCUAACUACGUG
rnacentral:rRNA from 1 species